rnacentral:misc_RNA from 1 species
CGCAGCCGCGGUAAUUCCAGCUCCAAUAGCGUAUAUUAAAGUUGCUGCAGUUAAAAAGCUCGUAGUUGAAUUUCGGGACUAAUAUGUCGGUCGUGCCUCGGUACGUACUGGCUUAUUGGUUUCUCCUUUCUGAAGAACCAUGAUGUCAUUUAUUUGGUGUCGUGGGGAAUCAGGACUGUUACUUUGAAAAAUUAGAGUGUUUAAAGCAGGCUUACGCUUGAAUACAUUAGCAUGGAAUAAUGAAAUAGGACGUUUGAUUCUAUUUUGUUGGUUUCUAGGAUCGACGUAAUGAUUAAUAGGGAUAGUUGGGGGCAUUAGUAUUCAAUUGUCAGAGGUGAAAUUCUUGGAUUUAUUGAAGACUAACUACUGCGAAAGCAUUUGCCAAGGAUGUUUUCAUUAAUCAAGAACGAAAGUUAGGGGAUCGAAGACGAUCAGAUACCGUCGUAGUCUUAACCAUAAACUAUGCCGACUAGGGAUCGGAUGAUGUUAAUUUUUUAAUGACUCAUUCGGCGCCUUACGG